rnacentral:ncRNA from 1 species
AACUUAAAUUAACUUAGAGCCAACCGAGCUGAAUACGACUAUAUAAGGUUUAUGGCUGAUGGGGUUUUGUCAGAAAUAACAAAGCCUCUCGCAUUUAGAAAGAAGGAACAUGGCGUGACUU